GGCGUUGGGGGGUGAGGUACCAACGGAAUAGCAUUUUGUAGGCUUGUUCAGUGUGCGUGACACAUAUGGAGAUGGAGGCCGUUGCCUCCCAGAUGUCUGACCAAUCUGUUGUUUCGUCUGGGGGUCCGAGGUCUGCCUCCCAUGCCGCUAUGUAUGGGAGAGACAGUUGUGUGUGGUGGGUCGCCAAGGUUGCAUAUAUGUCGGAGAUUUGUCCUUGUCUGUUGGGGUGCGCAAUGCAGUCUCUUUCAAAUCGAUUGAGUUGAGCCGUGCCGGCUUGUUUUAUGAUUGGAGUCGCUGCAAAGCUGCGCAAUUGUAUGAAUCUAAAGUGAUCGAAUGAUGUGAGUGAGGAUGAGUCUUUGAUAUCUGAGAAUUUUAUAAUGUCGUCGUCUUGGUACAAAUGCCCUAGAUGGGAAAUGUCCCUGUGUUCAAAGUGGGCGAAGUGCUUGGGGGUAAGUCCCGGUGGGAAAAGCUUGUUCCUCCAUAUGGGGGUCAUAGGAGAUAGGAACGAUGACAGUUCAAAUUUGUCCCCCAUUUUGUCCCAUGUAUCAAGUGCAUGGGUGAUUGAGGGUGCGGUGGGAGGGGGUAGGGGUCUAUGUGGUUUGGGUACCCACAUGUACAGGGAUGGGUGGUCCCGACCGAAGAAGUUGUGUUCCAAGUCCACCCAUCUUUUUUCUCCUGGUGGGACGUGCCAGUGUUGUAUCUGCGUUAGGUGUGCUGCCGUGUGGUAGUGUGUGAAGUGUGGUAGUCCUAGUCCCCCAUGUUUCUUGGGUACGUAUAGUGUGUUUUGGCGUACUCUGGGUUUGUGUCCAUUCCAGAUGAAUGUGUCUAUGGCUGUUUGUAGUGCCUUAAAGUCUUGUUUAUGGAUCGGUAUGGGGAGGGUUUGAAAUAGGUAUAAGAAUCUGGGUAGGAGAUUCAUUUUGAUUGUGGCGAUGCGUCCCAGCCAUGAGACCCCUAGUGAUUUCCAUUUAGUGAGGUCAGAGUGGGCUUUUUGUAAUAAGGGAGUGUAGUUUGUAUUAUAAAGAGUGGUGAUGUCUGUUGGGAGUUGGAUCCCUAGGUACGUCAUCGUUGUGUGGCAGAUCCUCAUCGGGCAUAUUUGUUUGAGUGUAGCUAGGUUUGGAGCGUCUAUUUGUAUUGGGAGGAGCUCUGAUUUAUUCAGGUUGAUCUUGUACCCUGACAAGUCUGAGUAUUCUUGGAUGAGAGUUAGGAGCGAGUUUAUGGAUUUUUCCAGGUUUGUCAGUGUUAGCAGGAUGUCAUCCGCGUAGGCUGAGAUUUUAAAGGUUUCUCCCCUGAUCGUUAGCCCCUCUAUGUCAUAGCUGGCACGCACCGCUUGCAGCAAAGGUUCUAGUGAUAUGGCGAAUAGUAGGGGGGAUAAAGGGCACCCCUGUCUCGUGCCGUUUGAGAUGGGGAAUCGUGGUGGGGGGAUGUUAGGUAGUAGAAGUGCCCCUUGGGGAGAGUGAUAGAUGGCAUGCACGAAUGAGGUAAACUCAGGUGGUAUCCCUAUGUAUGUUAGCGUCUGAUAGAGGAACGGCCAGAGCAAGCGAUCAAACGCUUUUUCCGCGUCCAGUGAGAUGAUCGCUGUAGGGAUUCGUCUGUGGUUAGCCAGCCAUAUGAGAUCAACGGCUCUCCGGGUGUUGUCCGCGGCGUGCCUAUGUGGGAUGAAUCCCACUUGAUCUGGGUGUAUGAG